rnacentral:rRNA from 1 species
CGCCCCUACCUGCAGUCGAGCGAGAAAGGGGGGCAACUCCUGAGUACAGCGGCGUACGGGUGAGUAACACGUGGGUAAUCUACCUCUUAGUGGGGAAUAACGAUGGGAAACCGUCGCUAAUACCGCAUAAGCCUGAGAAGGGAAAGCAGCAAUGCGCUGAGAGAGGAGCCCGCGGCCGAUUAGCUAGUUGGUGAGGUAACGGCCCACCAAGGCAAAGAUCGGUAGCCGGCCUGAGAGGGCACACGGCCACACUGGCACUGAAACACGGGCCAGACUCCUACGGGAGGCAGCAGUGGGGAAUCUUGCACAAUGGGGGAAACCCUGAUGCAGCGACGCCGCGUGAGCGAUGAAGCCCUUCGGGGUGUAAAGCUCUUUCGGCAGGGAAGAUGAUGACGGUACCUGCAGAAGCAGCUGCGGCUAACUACGUGCCAGCAGCCGCGGUAAUACGUAGGCAGCAAGCGUUGUUCGGAGUUACUGGGCGUAAAGGGUGUGUAGGCGGUUCUUCAAGUUUGGUGUGAAAUCUCCCGGCUCAACUGGGAGGGUGCGCCGAAUACUGAGGGACUAGAGUACGGGAGAGGAAAGUGGAAUUCCUGGUGUAGCGGUGAAAUGCGUAGAUAUCAGGAGGAACACCGGUGGUGUAAACGGCUUUCUGGACCGUAACUGACGCUGAGACACGAAAGCGUGGGUAGCAAACAGGAUUAGAUACCCUGGUAGUCCACGCCCUAAACGAUGCAUAUUUGGUGUGGGUCAUUCAGUUGAUCCGUGCCGGAGCUAACGCGUUAAAUAUGCCGCCUGGGGAGUACAGUCGCAAGGCUGAAACUCAAAGGAAUUGACGGGGGCCCGCACAAGC